UACGUAGGUGGCAAGCGUUGUCCGGAUUUACUGGGCGUAAAGCGUGCGCAGGCGGUUCGUUAAGUUCGUUGUGAAAGCCCCGGGCUCAACCUGGGAACUGCAAUGGAAACUGGCGGGCUUGAGUGUGGCAGAGGGGGGUGGAAUUCCGCGUGUAGCAGUGAAAUGCGUAGAGAUGCGGAGGAACACCGAUGGCGAAGGCAGCCCCCUGGGCCAACACUGACGCUCAGGCACGAAAGCGUGGGGAGCAAACAGG
rnacentral:rRNA from 1 species